UACAAACUCCCUCCGUUCGGAAUUACUCGUCCAAGAAAUGAAUGUAUGUAGAUGUAUUUUAGUUGUAGAUACAUCCAUUUUUGUGACAAGUAAUUCCGAACGGAGGGAGUACUAC
rnacentral:pre_miRNA from 1 species